GAAAUGCCAAGUGUUUCCAUGCUAAGAGGUGAAUGAUUUUAACCCGUAAAAUGGAGAUGUGAUUGUGCUAUUAUCAAGGAUUUAUUUUUAAAUUGAUUACUUCAUAGUCAAGUAGUUAAGCAGAGGGACUCUGGAGCCCACACAGCCUGAGUUCAAAUCCCGGCCCAGCACUUAUCAGCUGUUUGAUCUUAGGAGCUGUGUGAUCUUGGGCACGUUUUUUGAUCUUUCUGUACCUCAGUUUCUAAUCUAUAAAAUGGGCAUAGUAGGACCUCCUCGCAGGGUAUGUGAGGAUUAAAUGCACGUCUCAGAAGAGUACCUAGACUCUUAGAACAGUACGCACUAUACAAGUGUCAGUAAUUAUUAUUAUUGUUGUUAUUUUAAUGCUCUCCAAGCAGCAUCAUUUGGUAGAAUGAUGCUAAUUUAAAGUUUUAUCUUGAAUGUCAUUUUCUUUCACUCUUGUCAGGUAUCUUGGUGACUGUAUAUAUAUUUUCUUUUGCAGAUCAUUUCAAAAUUCUACACUUGAGGCCCUUUGUGAACUGAGACCUGGGCCAGAAUGGUCUCUUGGCUCCCCUGGUGAAACAGGAUGCCUGCCCCUGCUUCUGAGAGUGAAAGAAAAACUCUUUUAAUUACUCAUUGAUCUCCAACACUCAGUAACAAUGAAAGCUCCAGAAUGUGUACAAGAAAGCAAGACCUACUGCUUUUUUGCCCAAGAGGAUCACUUCAACUACAGGAGGUGUUUUUUUGAUACGAGAAGUGAAGGAAUUCUGAAGCAUUUUGUCUUCCUGUUGGUGGUCUCAAAUAAUUGCUGAUUUUAUUAAGUGACUUGAAAGUUUAACAGUUGUUCAUUUUCAAAAAUCUAAUACCUUUUUAAUAGAGAGUAAACAAGGCUUGCAUAAAGUUGGCUUUGAAAUGUGUUUUUAGAGAUGUGGUUAGCAUUUUAGAGGAUUUACUACACUUCAGAUAAAAUAUUAAAGCCCUAGUGAAAACAAUUGACUCAGUAGGAUCUAGGAAAUGGUUCACCUUCCCAAACGUCCCCUAGUUGGAACUUUUUAUGACUCCCUAGGCAUGUAGCAGCGAAACAGAAAUAAUUCUCUGAUAGACACAAAGCCUUGGCUUAGACCAUAUCUGCUUUUUCUCUCCAUGGAUAAGGGAGCUAACACAGCAUUCUAGUUUAAAAGAAGGGCGUGAAGAGUUUUGAACAUCUAUUGGAGCAAGUAGCUAAUAACAGUUAUGUCCAGGGUUGGGGAUGAAGUGAUGUGAUGUGUUUGUGUGUGUCGGGGGGAGUGGAUGGGUACAGGACAAGUUUAAUUUUGUCACAUAAGAAAGGAAGUGUUGUGGUGCCUUAUAAAUGGGGAAUCUGUCUUCAGUUUGGAUUCCUUCUGCCAAAGUUGCUUUAGAACUCCUCCAAUAGCCACAGUUCACAGCUGAGUCCAGAAACCAGCUUAUGGAGCAGAAAAAGACCUGUCUUUAACAAAGCAAGCCUGGUGAGUAGAGUGGUUAGACAGAGAGCUGCUGCAUCUCAUAGGCUUUUGAGUUUGCAUCAAAAAAUCAGAAGGCAAAGUCAUAAUGAUUCAGAAUGCUAAGAUUUAGCAAAAUAUGAGACUGAAACCAGAGGUGUGCAUCCCAGCCUAGAGAGAGAACACUGAGAACGUGCACAGAGCCUCAGACCCACCAGCACAGAUAAGCCUAGGGAGCCAUGCCCACCAAGGGUCUUCUGCUUCUUACAGAGGAGAAACUGGACACAGGGAAGGACACAACAUAAGAGUAUACAUUGUAUCGGUUCUCUUUCAUUGACUGGAUUCAGUCAUUGCCCCAUUACUUUUUGCUUUUCCCAUAAGCCCUGAGUUUAAAAGCAAACUCUCCAGGUCACAAAAAUUGCAGGGCCCAGAGCAAGUUGAAGCAUCAGCAGUGCCCUUGCAGAAUUCUCUCUGAAGGUGCCUUAUUUGUGCAUGUGGCUGUGUCAUCAAAGCACUUUAUCCCCUCUCCACCCAGGCGUGUACUAAAAACAAUUUCUUGUAUAUAUCUUUCCAUUUCCCCCUCACCACAAUGGGCAGCCAGAUGCCCAUUUACUGAAUAGUCCAUUCUUCCUCUCCCCUUAUUAGACGUGCCCACCUGUAUCACAUAUUAAAUUCUCAUAUGUAAGUGGGUCUAUUUAUGGACUCUUUAAUCUCAAGAUCUGACUCUUUAUUUAUGCACCAAUGCCAACUUUUUUAAACUCUCUAACUUUAUAAUAAAA
rnacentral:lncRNA from 1 species